GGUUAAUUGACCCAACACGGGGAAACUUACCAGGUCCCAGACGUAGUAAGGAUUGACAGAUUGAUAGCUCUUUCUUGAUUCUAUGGGUGGUGGUUGCAUGGCCGUUCUUUAGUUGGUGGAGUGAUUUUGUCUGGUUAAUUCCGAUAACGAACGAGACCUUAACCUGCUAACUAGAUACUUUUAUUCUAUAAAUGUCAUCUUCUUAGAGGGACUAUGUAAUCUAAAUACAUGGAAGUUUGAGGCAAUAACAGGUCAGUGAUGCCCUUAUAUGUCCUGGGCUGCACGCGUGCUACACUGAUGCAUACAACAAGUGCCUAACCAGACAUGGUACGGCAAUCUCGAAUAUGCAUCGUGAUGGGGAUAGAUCUUUGCAAUUAUAGAUCUUGAACGAGGAAUUCCUAGUAAGUGCAAGUCAUCAUCUUGCAUUGAUUAUGUCCCUGCCCUUUGUACACACCGCCCGUCGCUCCUACCGAUACCGGGUGAUCCGGUGAACCUUUUGGACUCAUUGAGAAAGAUAAGUAAACCAUAUCACCUAGAGGAAGGAGAAGUCGUAACAAGGUUUCCGUAGGUGAACCUGCAGAAGGAUCA
rnacentral:rRNA from 1 species